UACGAAGGGGGCGAGCGUUGUUCUGAUUUACUGGGCGUAAAGGGCGCGCAGGCGGUCUUGAAAGUCAGGCGUGAAAGCCCCGGGCUUAACCUGGGAAUUGCGCUUGAUACUCUGAGACUGGAGUACGGGAGAGGAGAGUGGAAUUCCCAGUGUAGAGGUGAAAUUCGUAGAUAUUGGGAAGAACACCAGUGGCGAAGGCGGCUCUCUGGACCGUAACUGACGCUGAGGCGCGAAAGCGUGGGGAGCAAACAGG
rnacentral:rRNA from 1 species